rnacentral:misc_RNA from 1 species
CCGAGUUAUACAACUCAUCAACCCUGUGAACAUACCUAUAACGUUGCCUCGGCGGGAACAGACGGCCCCGUAACACGGGCCGCCCCCGCCAGAGGACCCCCUAACUCUGUUUCUAUAAUGUUUCUUCUGAGUAAACGAGCAAAUAAAUUA